rnacentral:rRNA from 1 species
GAGUUUGAUCCUGGCUCAGAUUGAACGCUGGCGGCAGGCCUAACACAUGCAAGUCGAGCGGAUGACGGGAGCUUGCUCCUUGAUUCAGCGGCGGACGGGUGAGUAAUGCAUCGGAACGUAUCCUGGAGUGGGGGAUAACGUAGCGAAAGUUACGCUAAUACCGCAUAUUCUGUGAGCAGGAAAGCGGGGGACCUUCGGGCCUCGCGCUCUUGGAGCGGCCGAUGUCGGAUUAGCUAGUUGGUGAGGUAAAGGCUCACCAAGGCGACGAUCCGUAGCAGGUCUGAGAGGAUGAUCUGCCACACUGGAACUGAGACACGGUCCAGACUCCUACGGGAGGCAGCAGUGGGGAAUUUUGGACAAUGGGGGCAACCCUGAUCCAGCCAUGCCGCGUGAGUGAAGAAGGCCUCGGUU